AGAGCGAACGCUGGCGGCAGGCCUAACACAUGCAAGUCGAGCGCCCGUAGCAAUACGGGAGCGGCAGACGGGAUAGUAACACGUGGGAACGCGCCCUUCAGUUCGGAAUAACUCAGGGAAACUUGAGCUAAUACCGGAUACGCCCUUACGGGGAAAGAUUUAUUGCCGAAGGAACGGCCCGCGUCUGAUUAGCUAGUUGGUGAGGUAACGGCUCACCAAGGCGACGAUCAGUAGCUGGUCUGAGAGGAUGAUCAGCCACAUUGGGACUGAGACACGGCCCAAACUCCUACGGGAGGCAGCAGUGGGGAAUAUUGGACAAUGGGCGCAAGCCUGAUCCAGCCAUGCCGCGUGGAUGAUGAAGGCCUUAGGGUUGUAAAGUCCUUUUAACGGGGAAGAUAAUGACGGUACCCGUAGAAUAAGCCCCGGCUAACUUCGUGCCAGCAGCCGC
rnacentral:rRNA from 1 species